GACGCUGGACGCACGCGGGGUGCAGCGCCGCCCUGCGGAACGGACGGCUGGGCUGGCCGUCGAGCGCAGGAGCUGGGGCGUGCACCUGACCGGGACAAACGCGCCGUGGUCAUGCCUCGCUGGCUCUGGUCGCUGGUGCGCGUGGCUUCCGCCGCCAGCAACCUGACGAGCGGCGCGCGCUAGGGGACGACGGCGUUUGCUUGGUUGUGGCUUCGGAGUUCGGACCGUGGGGCGGGACUACUAGUUUUUUUUAUAUAUACAGGGGUGUUCGGGAGCUAGUGAAACUUUUCAUAUCAUGUUUGACACUAAUUAAGAGUACUAAACAUAGUUUAAUUAUAAAAAAAUUUUGCACAACCCCUAGGCUAAAUCGAGAGACGAAUCUAUUAAGUCUAAUUAGUCCAUGAUUUAACAAUGUGGUGCUACAGUAACCAUUCGCUAAUGAUGGAUUAAUUAGGCUUAAUAGAUUCGUCUUGCGAUCUAGCCUAGGAGUUCUGCUAUUAGUUUUAUAAUUAGCAUCCGAACAUCCGAUGUGACAAGGCUAAAGUUUAGCUCCUGG
rnacentral:lncRNA from 1 species